rnacentral:lncRNA from 1 species
UGAGAUAUGUAUUAUUAUUUAUUAGUUUUUUAGAUUAACUGAGGUAUGUAUUAUCAUUUAUUAGUUUUAAUACGUUUCAUUCCCUCUCUAUAGUGAUCACAAAUAUAGGUUGAAAAUGGAAAAAUUAGAUAACAAGUUGUGCAAUUUUUUAUGCCCAACCAUAUGAUGAUAAUUUUUUAUUUAAAUCUAAGAAUACUGAUGAAUUACAAACGUUCUCUUUAUCUUGAUAUUAUAACAGACAAUAAUUUAGCUAAGUAUGCGGCUCUACAUUUUUUAUUCCAAUCAAAGACCAUAACACAUCCAA